rnacentral:misc_RNA from 1 species
GAUGAAGAACGCAGUGAAAUGCGAUAAGUAAUGUGAAUUGCAGAAUUCAGUGAAUCAUCGAAUCUUUGAACGCAACUUGCGCUCUCUGGUAUUCCGGAGAGCAUGCCUGUUUGAGUGUCAUGAAAUCUCAACCAUUAGGGUUUCUUAAUGGCUUGGAUUUGGAGGCUGCCAUUCUAAAUGGCUCCUCUUAAAGGAGUUAGCAAGUUUUACUAUUGCUAUCUGGCGUAAUAAGUUUCGCUGGAAUGGUAUUGUGAAGCGUGCUUCUAAUCGUCUUCGGACAAUUACUUUGACUCUGGCCUCAAAUCAGGUAGGACUACCCGCUGAACUUAAGCAUAUCAAUAAGCGGAGGA